rnacentral:rRNA from 1 species
CCUACGGGCGGCAGCAGUGGGGGAUAUUGCACAAUGGGGGGAACCCUGAUGCAGCGACGCCGCGUGGGUGAAGAAGCGCCUCGGCGCGUAAAGCCCUGUCAGCAGGGAAGAAAAUGACGGUACCUGAAGAAGAAGCCCCGGCUAACUACGUGCCAGCAGCCGCGGGAAUACGGAGGGGGCAAGCGUUAUCCGGAUUUACUGGGGGUAAAGGGGGCGCAGACGGCGAUGCAAGCCAGGAGUGAAAGCCCGGGGCCCAACCCCGGGACUGCUCUUGGAACUGCGGGGCUGUAGUGCAGGAGGGGCAGGCGGAAUUCCUGGUGUAGCGGUGAAAUGCGUAGAUAUCAGGAGGAACACCGGUGGCGAAGGCGGCCUGCUGGACUGCAACUGACGUUGAGGCCCGAAAGCGUGGGGAGCAAACAGGAUUAGAUACCCGAGUAGUC